rnacentral:tRNA from 2 species
GGGCCCAUAGCUCAGCGGUAGAGCGACCGGCUCAUAACCGGUUGGUCCCUGGUUCGAAUCCGGGUGGGCCCACCA